ensembl:lncRNA
AAACCUGAUUAUUUCUCACCAGGAUUUUUCUUUUUUCUUUUUUCUUUUUGCAGAAGCCAGGUUUAAUACCUGGCCUUGCUCACUGGAUUUUUCUAAAUAGUCUACUGACCUUACUCUAUUGCUUAAAUCUUUCAGUAGCUUCCUGAUGUAUUCAAUUCUGUUCUUCAAACUUCAAUGUUUUUCAUCCCAGCCUUCCAGUUCUUGCCAUAUGGAUGUAGUUCCUACGUUGUCAUUCCUUUAACAUGUUUAUAAACUGGCUUUAAAAAGCAAAGAAAUAUACAGUCUAGGCAACUUGAUUUGCCACCCAAAAUGCUAUAAUCAAAAGGGAAGAUUAAUAAGGUUAGAGAGAGGUGCUAAAGACUCGCCAACCCAAUCUGGAAAGGUCUUUACUUGUGAAGGACUGAAAAAGAAUGGAAAAGGAACUAAAUUUCUCAUUGUGUGAUUCAAGAUUAUAUACUGUCUUGUCUGUGUACCAUUUACGACCAUCUCAUGUGCGCCAGUGGGAAGGGAGCCGUUGUCUGAAAAGCACUGCCAGGUCCCUGAAGGUGGUACCCCAGGCACCUGGUGAACUAGUACCUGCAUGACAUUUCAGCAGCAUCACCUGCAACUCUCUGAGAGCACUGUUCCAGCCAUUCUGAAAAAUCUGAGGUUCCAUGAACUUAAUGUCAGGAAUACUAUUUGCUGAAAGUAACAGAAUGUAUGAAUAAGACGGACAAUAAGAGGUGAUUUUCCUUGCACAUGAAGAAGUCUAGAGGUGAGCAGUUGCCGAUGCUGGCUGGUCAAAUGUGACAAGGCUGUAGGCUGGAAUCUCUGGAUGUUCUUGCCCUUACCUUCAGGGUCUUAAGAUGUCUUCCACAGCCCCAGUCAUCACACCAUGGCAUUCAGAAGCAAGACACAGGGCUUCGAAGAGCUGAGCAUUUCUGGUCAAGAGCUGUCCUCUGAUCAGGGAGGAAAGGUCUUUCUCAAGGACCCUCCAAGCACACUUCCUGUUAUAUCUUUAUGCUCAAGAUGGGGUCACAUG